rnacentral:lncRNA from 13 species
GCAGGGAUGAAGGCACUUCACUGAAAAAUCUCCUUUUAGUCCCACAUUAAUAUGCUUGGACUUUAGCCUGAUGCUUCUCAAACAGGGUAGUUAGUGCCCCUUGCUUAGAUGCUGCUACUGACAGGCCACAGGCUAGAGGAUGAUUCUUGCUGGACUCUGCAGUUUUCCUGCUUUCCUUCUUUGACAGAAUCCAAUUCUCCUGACCUUCAGGACGUGGAGCAGAACUCAUUGCUUCCACCUGGCCUACCCAAGUUCAUCACUUCACAAAUGGUAAAACAAGGACCUGAAAAAGUGAAAGAAUUACCCAAGGGCCCUGACUAGGAAGUGAGAAAAAGUUAGACGACUUGCAGUUUUAGAACCAGCCUGGUGAAGCUAAAUCUGCAUUGGAGAGAUGUGUUGGGC